GCCCAAGUGGCGGAAUUGGCAGACGCACUAGCUUCAGGAGCUAGCGGUCGCAAGGCCGUGGAGGUUCGAGUCCUCUCUUGGGCACCA
rnacentral:tRNA from 1 species